rnacentral:snRNA from 1 species
AUCACUUCUCAGUCUUCUGGCCAAGAUCAAGUGU